GGUAGUCCACGCUGUAAACGAUGGGUACUAGGAUUGGUGGGAGUUGACCCCUGCCGAUCCGGAGCUAACGCGAUAAGUACCCCGCCUGGGAAGUACGGUCGCAAGACUAAAACUCAAAGGAAUUGACGGGAGCCCGCACAAGCGGUGGAUUAUGUGGUUUAAUUCGAAGCAACGCGCAGAACCUUACCUAGGUUUGACAUCCUUUGACAACUGCAGAGAUGUAGCUUUCGUAGCAAUACGACAAAGAGACAGGUGCUGCAUGGCUGUCGUCAGCUCGUGUGGUGGCAUGUCGGGUUAAG
rnacentral:rRNA from 1 species